rnacentral:rRNA from 1 species
GACGAACGCUGGCGGCGUGCCUAAUACAUGCAAGUUGAGCGCUGAAGGUUGGUACUUGUACCAACUGGAUGAGCAGCGAACGGGUGAGUAACGCGUGGGGAAUCUGCCUUUGAGCGGGGGACAACAUUUGGAAACGAAUGCUAAUACCGCAUAAAAACUUUAAACACAAGUUUUAAGUUUGAAAGAUGCAAUUGCAUCACUCAAAGAUGAUCCCGCGUUGUAUUAGCUAGUUGGUGAGGUAAAGGCUCACCAAGGCGAUGAUACAUAGCCGACCUGAGAGGGUGAUCGGCCACAUUGGGACUGAGACACGGCCCAAACUCCUACGGGAGGCAGCAGUAGGGAAUCUUCGGCAAUGGACGAAAGUCUGACCGAGCAACGCCGCGUGAGUGAAGAAGGUUUUCGGAUCGUAAAACUCUGUUGGUAGAGAAGAACGUUGGUGGGAGUGGAAAGCUCAUCAAGUGACGGUAACUACCCAGAAAGGGACGGCUAACUGCGUG